AGCCGUGUGGCGAGCACAAAGCGAACUAUUCUUUCGCCUUUUACUAAAGAAUACCGUGUGCCCGCCACUUAUUGCGGAAUACAUUAAUUUUUGAAGGGGUUAACCUAAACCCCU